CCAUGCGAGUCAUUGUAGCAAUACAAGGCAGACGGCUCAGUAACGCGUAGUCAAUCUACCCUGUUGACGGGGAUAACCUCGGGAAACUGAGAAUAAUACCCGAUAGAACAUUAUGCCUGGAAUGGUUUAUGUUUCAAAUGAUUUAUCGCAAUAGGAUGGGACUGCGGCCUAUCAGUUUGUUGGUGAGGUAAUGGCCCACCAAGACUAUUACAGGUACGGGCUCUGAGAGGAGUGGCCCGGAGAUGGGUACUGAGACACGGACCCAGGCCCUAUGGGGCGCAGCAGGCGAGAAAACUUUACAAUGUGCGAAAGCACGACAAGGUUAAUCCGAGUGGUUUCUGCUAAAGAAACCUUUUGUCAGUCCUAGAAACACUGAUGAAUAAGGGGUGGGCAAGUUCUGGUGUCAGCCGCCGCGGUAAAACCAGCACCUCAAGUGGUCAGGAUGAUUAUUGGGCCUAAAGCAUCCGUAGCUUGUUUUGUAAGUUUUCGGUUAAAUCCAUACGCUUAACGUAUGGGCUGCCGGGAAUACUGCAUAACUAGGAAGUGGGAGAGGUAGACGGUACUCGGUAGGAAGGGGUAAAAUCCUUUGAUCUAUUGAUGACCACCUGUGGCGAAGGCGGUCUACCAGAACACGUUCGACGGUGAGGGAUGAAAGCUGGGGGAGCAAACCGGAUUAGAUACCCGGGUAGUCCCAGCUGUAAACUACGCAAACUCAGUGAUGCAUUGGCUUGUGGCCAAUGCAGUGCUGCAGGGAAGCCGUUAAGUUUGCCGCCUGGGAAGUACGUACGCAAGUAUGAAACUUAAAGGAAUUGGCGGGGGAGCACCACAAGGGGUGAAGCCUGCGGUUCAAUUGGAGUCAA
rnacentral:rRNA from 1 species